rnacentral:rRNA from 1 species
UACGUAGGGGGCAAGCGUUGUCCGGAUUUAUUGGGCGUAAAGAGCGUGUAGGCGGUUUGGUAGGUCCGCUGUGAAAACUCGAGGCUCAACCUCGAGACGCCGGUGGAAACCAUCAGGCUAGAGUCCGGAAGAGGAGAGUGGAAUUCCUGGUGUAGCGGUGAAAUGCGCAGAUAUCAGGAAGAACACCCGUGGCUAAGGCGGCUCUCUGGGCCUUACCUGACGCUGAGGAGCGAAAGCGUGGGUAGCGAACAGG